rnacentral:lncRNA from 1 species
GUUGAGAUUAUACCAAUUCCGCCUCCAUUCAAACCAUACUUAAAUAUAGAGGAAAUGUUCUUAUCAGUUCCUUCCGAGUUCAAGCUUCCAGUUGUAAGUAUUUCGAUGGGUUCUUCGCCUUUGAAAACAAGAUGAGAAAGAGAUCAUCGAGGGAGGUCAAUGACUGCAAUUUUAAUUGGCCGUUUGGACGGACAUUUUUAUGGGAGACCUUAUUUUAUUGACUUGAUUGAUAUUCGGAUUGCAAACGCAAACAAGAUUUCGUGUCAAAGUUAUCUAUUCAUCCUUUAUGGUCAGUGGUCACUAAUAAGUUAUGAGUACACUUCCUGUAAUGAUGGGUUUGAUGUUCUCUAAAUAACAAUAUAUUUUAUUUUGCAUAAAUUUACAGAAUAUAAUAUACAUUUAUAAAGUUAUUUAUAGGGAA